GUGGGGAAUAUUGGACAAUGGGCGAAAGCCUGAUCCAGCCAUGCCGCGUGUGUGAAGAAGGUCUUCGGAUUGUAAAGCACUUUAAGUUGGGAGGAAGGGCAGUAAGUUAAUACCUUGCUGUUUUGACGUUACCGACAGAAUAAGCACCGGCUAACUUCGUGCCAGCAGCCGCGGUAAUACGAAGGGUGCAAGCGUUAAUCGGAAUUACUGGGCGUAAAGCGCGCGUAGGUGGUUUUGUAAGUUGGAGGUGAAAUCCCCGGGGUCAACCUGGGAACGGCCUCCAAAACUGAAUGACUAGAGUGCGGUAGAGGGUAGUGGAAUUUCCUGUGUAGCGGUGAGAUGCGUAGAUAUAGGAAGGAACACCAGUGGCGAAGGCGACUACCUGGACUGAUACUGACACUGGGGUGCGAAAGCGUGGGGAGCAAACAGGAUUAGAUACCCCGGUAGUCC
rnacentral:rRNA from 1 species